AUUGAACGCUGGCGGCAUGCUUUACACAUGCAAGUCGAACGGUAACAGGUUAAGCUGACGAGCGGCGAACGGGUGAGUAAUGCAUCGGAACGUGCCCGAUCGUGGGGGAUAACGCAGCGAAAGCUGCGCUAAUACCGCAUACGAUCUGAGGAUGAAAGCGGGGGACCGUAAGGCCUCGCGCGAUCGGAGCGGCCGAUGUCAGAUUAGGUAGUUGGUGGGGUAAAGGCUCCCCAAGCCAACGAUCUGUAGCUGGUCUGAGAGGACGACCAGCCACACUGGGACUGAGAACCGGACCAGACUCCUACGGGGGGGAGCAGUGGGGGAUUUUGGACCAGGGGGGAAAGCCUUGUCCAGCAAUGCCGCGUGCAGGAAGAAGGCCUUCGGGUUGUAAACUGCUUUUGUACGGAGCGAAAAGGCCCUCUCUAAUACAGUGGGCUCAUGACGGUACCGUAAGAAUAAGCACCGGCUAACUACGUGCCAGCCGCCGCCGUAAUAC
rnacentral:rRNA from 1 species